UUGAAUGCCGCAUUCAAUGUCUGCUAUAGCCACCUCUUCACUUUCUUUCUUUAUAUCUCAAUUGAGCGACAAUGAUUUCAAUCUAGAUGAAGCCUGAAGCGAUCAAUGCACCCUCAUUCAGGUUCUAGGGUUUCAUCAAAAUCUCUGUCCAAAUCAAGCAAAUCCAUUUGGUUCUCUGUUCUCAUCACAAAAGCAAAAGGUACACAUGCGGCGUCAUUCUAGAACACCAAGUUAUCUGUGUAAAGUUAAGCAAUUCGAUCAGAUCUGCAAAUGCAAUGAUGAGGUUUUAUCUAUCUCGGAUUUCUCAACAAACGACAAGUAUCGAUUUUCUUCAGAGAUUCCGGCCGGAAUCCGAGCCCACAUAAUGGAUGCUCUAGGGUUUAUGAAGGUUUGAUGAACUCUGCUGUGUGUACUGGAGGUAAUCAUUCGCGUAAAUUUGACGCCAUUUUUGAGGUUGUAUAUAUUAUGUUUCUUUAGUUUUGGUUAUUUUUUCAUGUUUUUUACUUUAAUUUUCUUUUGUAGAUUAAUAGAUUAUGUGAUUGUUAUUACUUGUUUUAUGGUGUUAGUGUAAUAAGCGGGCUCAUUGACAUGAUUCUUUAAGAGUUAUUUAUUUUUUUUACGCCAAAUAUUGAAUUCAUAAACGGUGUAAAAUCAUCUAAUUCGAAUUUUAGUUUAACAAUAGUUAACGGUGUUGCUAAAGAUGAAGGAGUAUUGAAUGAUAAUUUGGGGAAUAAGGUACCGUUUUUCCGAUUAUAAUUUUCCCUUUUAGUUUUAUUCGACUAUUUCUGUUACAGUGAUCAUUGGUAUAAUGCUUCAUCUUCCAUUAUGUAUUCUUAUAUUCUUGUUUUCUGGUUAUCAAGUUUAGUUGUAUCUCACAGGAGAGUUGUUGGUCUUAACAUAACUGAUACAUGGGAACCACUACAGGAGGACUUACUUGUCUAGAAACUACCAUGCAUAUAUCAGUGAUCACUAUAACUCUCUCUAAGGACGGAACUGAAUACAUCAGUUAUUGGAGAAAUAGGAGGUUGAACCUGGAAAAGAAUCAUUAAACGCUUUGGUGGAAGAAGGAAUCGAGCAUAAACCACAAAAGGCUACAAAGAGUAAAGAAGAAGGUUCUAAUAAGAAAAAAGAAAAUGAUAUCGAUGUUAGUAAGCUCGUGUCUGGGCCAAAACUAUUUUUGCCAGGUUCACCCGUAAAUAUUUGAUGCAAAGACUUUUUUCAUCGCAAUAAAUAUUUGACGCAAAUAUAAUUA